rnacentral:rRNA from 1 species
AGAGUUUGAUUCUGGCUCAGGAUGAACGCUAGCGGCAGGCCUAACACAUGCAAGUCGAACGGUAAGGCCCCUUCGGGGGUACACGAGUGGCGCACGGGUGCGUAACGCGUAUGGAACCUGCCCUCCGCAGGGGGAUAGCCCGCCGAAAGGCGGAUUAAUACCCCAUGGCUUCCGGCCCCCGCAUGGGGGUCGGGGUAAAGCUACGGCGGCGGGGGAUGGCCAUGCGUGCCAUUAGCUGGUUGGCGGGGUAACGGCCCACCAAGGCUAUGAUGGCUAGGGGUUCUGAGAGGAAGGUCCCCCACACUGGUACUGAGACACGGACCAGACUCCUACGGGAGGCAGCAGUGAGGAAUAUUGGUCAAUGGGCGGAAGCCUGAACCAGCCAUGCCGCGUGCAGGAAGACGGCCCUACGGGUUGUAAACUGCUUUUGCGCGGGACGAAUAACCCCCUCGUGAGGGGGGAUGCCGGUACCGCGCGAAUAAGGAUCGGCUAACUCCGUGCCAGCAGCCGCGGUAAUACGGAGGAUCCGAGCGUUAUCCGGAUUUACUGGGUUUAAAGGGUGCGUAGGCGGGCGCCUAAGUCAGCGGUGAAAGGCAGCGGCUCAACCGUUGGACUGCCGUUGAAACUGGGCGUCUUGGAUUCGGUCGGGGCCGGCGGAAUGCGUGGUGUAGCGGUGAAAUGCUUAGAUAUCACGCGGAACGCCGAUCGCGAAGGCAGCUGGCCAGGCCGCAAUCGACGCUGAUGCACGAAAGCGUGGGGAUCAAACAGGAUUAGAUACCCUGGUAGUC